rnacentral:rRNA from 1 species
GUUACAGAUGUGAAAGACCCGGGGCCGUCAACCUCGGAAUUGCAUUUGUAAACUAGGCAGACUAGAGUACUGUAGAGGGGGGUAGGAAGUUUCAGGUGUAGCGGUGAAAUGCGUAGAGAUCUGAAGGAAUACCGGUGGCGAAGGCGGCCCCCUCGGACAGAUACUGACACUCAGAUGCGAAAGCGUGGGGAGCAAACAGGAUUAGAUACCCCUGGUAG